rnacentral:rRNA from 1 species
UACGUAGGGCGCAAGCGUUGUCCGGAAUUAUUGGGCGUAAAGAGCUCGUAGGCGGUUUGUCGCGUCUGCUGUGAAAACCUAAGGCUCAACCUUGGGCUUGCAGUGGGUACGGGCAGACUAGAGUGCGGUAGGGGUGACUGGAAUUCCUGGUGUAGCGGUGGAAUGCGCAGAUAUCAGGAGGAACACCGAUGGCGAAGGCAGGUCACUGGGCCGCAACUGACGCUGAGGCGCGAAAGCUAGGGGAGCGAACAGG